rfam:Salmo salar isolate Sally breed double haploid chromosome ssa26, whole genome shotgun sequence.
UAGCUCAGUUGGUAGAGCAUGGCGCUUGCAACACCAGGGUUGUGGGUUCAAUUCCCAC